UAAUUUUAAAUUUUUAUGGAGUUGGAACGUUUGCCUACUUUGCAGCUAGGGGCGCCGUUUCUACUGUAUACAAAUUUGAGUUA
rnacentral:pre_miRNA from 1 species